AGAAUGCUGGGAGAAAGAAGCUGAAUCAGGUCAGUCGCCAUGGUUCUCCCACUCCAGACAGACGCAGGUUAAGAUCUUCCCUGGUGGUAAAGCUGCACCUUCUGAAUAAGGAAACCCGGUCUCCCCAGCAAGAAAACAAUAAACACUUCUGUGCAUUUAGGCACAAGAAGCAAAGAUCAUCAUUAUUUCCACUAUGUCCUGUCCCAGCCUGGAUGAACAGAUGGUAGAGAGAGUGGCCACCACCAUUUACUCUGAUCAACAGAGGGACUGAUGAGGCGGAACAGAGAUGACAAUAACAAGACUCUAAUCCCAGAAUGGUGAAGCUCGUGACAUUUAAGGGGGGGGGAUUGCAUCUGCUCUAUUAUACUUUUUUUUUUUUACCAU